rnacentral:rRNA from 1 species
CCCUUAGAUGUUCUGGGCUGCACGCGUGUUACACUGAUUACUUCAACAAGUGUUUUAACUGGAGAGUUCGCGUAAUCCUGAAAUGUUAUCGUGAUGGGAGUAGAGUAUUGUAUUUGUUAAUCUUUAACGAGGAAUUCCUAGUAAGUGUAGGUUUAUAAGUUGUUCUGAUUACGUCCCUGCCCUUUGUACACACCGCCCGUCGCUCCUACCGAUUGAUUGAUCCGGUGAAUUACAUAGAAUUUUGCGUUUUACAUGACGGAAGAUGAAGUGUUUUAAACCUUAUCAUUUAGAGGAAGGAGAAGUCGUAACA